AAUGAACGCUGGCGGCGUGCCUAACACAUGCAAGUCGCACGAGAAAGGGGGCUUCGGCUCCCGAGUAAAGUGGCGCACGGGUGAGUAACGCGUAGGUAACCUACCCCCGGGUUCGGGAUAACAGUGCGAAAGCGCUGCUAAUACCGGAUACGACAUACGAGCGGGAGCACGUAUGUGAAAGUCGGCCUCUCGAAGAAGCUGAUGUUCGGGGAUGGGCCUGCGUCCUAUCAGCUAGUUGGUAGGGUAACGGCCUACCAAGGCGACGACGGGUAGCUGGUCUGAGAGGAUGAUCAGCCACACUGGCACUGAAACACGGGCCAGACUCCUACGGGAGGCUG
rnacentral:rRNA from 1 species